GGUUUAAUUCGAUGAUACGCGAGGAACCUUACCCGGGCUUGAAAGUUACUGACGAUUCUGGAAACAGGAUUUCCCUUUGGGGCAGGAAACUAGGUGCUGCAUGGUUGUCGUCAGCUCGUGCCGUGAGGUGUCGGGUUAAGUCCCAUAACGAGCGCAACCCCUACCGUUAGUUGCCAUCAGGUCAAGCUGGGCACUCUGGCGGGACUGCGGUGUAAGCCGAGA
rnacentral:rRNA from 1 species